rnacentral:rRNA from 1 species
GUGAGGAAUAUUGCGCAAUGGAGGCAACUCUGACGCAGCCAUGCCGCGUGCAGGAAGAAGGCGCUACGCGUUGUAAACUGCUUUUAACCGGGAAGAAACCCCAGGACAUGUCCUGGGUUGACGGUACCGGAGGAAUAAGCACCGGCUAACUUCGUGCCAGCAGCCGCGGUAAUACGAAGGGUGCAAGCGUUAUCCGGAUUCAUUGGGUUUAAAGGGUGCGUAGGCGGAGCGUUAAGUCAGUGGUGAAAUCCUGCAGCUUAACUGUAGACUUGCCAUUGAUACUGGCGCUCUUGAGUGCGCUUGAAGUGGGCGGAAUGUGCCGUGUAGCGGUGAAAUGCUUAGAUAUGGCACAGAACACCAAUUGCGAAGGCAGCUCACUAAGGCGAUACUGACGCUGAGGCACGAAAGCGUGGGGAUCGAACAGGAUUAGAUACCCGUGUAGUCC